rnacentral:lncRNA from 1 species
CAUUAUUCAUGUGCAUUUCUUUUCCUCCCACGGGGACAGGCAUAUCAAUUUUUCUAUAUGUUUUGAAGAGCUUAGCCACAUGAUUUUAAUCAUUUCUCCCAGGUGGCUGUUAGAACUUGCAUGGUGGCCUUAUAUAUUAUCUGACCAAGAACAAGUUCCAAGGUGGUUUGAUAAAUGAGCAGGAGACCAAAAUCAGAGAACUGAAAUUCUCCUCCCUAAGGAACAAUAGUUUCACCAUAGAUCGCAUAGGGAUCUUAGGAAUCUGAAUAUAGAAAAACAACAUAACUUAGAAUUUUGAGCUGGACCAGAACCUGAGGUCAUCUAAUAUUUUAAAACUGUUUUACAAAAGUUCUGGUUUAGGUAAAAGCUGAUCACCAUUUUUCUUACUAUUUUGCCUUUCAAUUUUUAAAUCUAAUAUCUUAAUGGAAAUCUAAUUCUUUAGACUAAUUGUUUAUAGUUAAUGCAUCAGAGUCUAUUUACAGUCAUAGUUCCCAACUGGUUUUAAAAUCAUUUUAUAAAACUUAGAAUGAAAACACAUGCACACACACACACACACACACACACACACACACACACACACACCAGGAAAGUACACAACAUUGGAAAAUUCAGGACAGAUCUUGAAAACCACAGGAUCUGUGAAUCUAAACUUGUGUGAUGCUUUUCUUCCAUUCAGGAAAGUUCCCCACGUUCCUCACAUAUCAUUGAAUGGUGUAACCACGCCAACCACAAGUUUAACCAGCUUCGCUUGUACUUUUUAAUUGACUUCAACCCCAAACAUUUUCACUAUGUAGAUAAAAUUGAACUUCUCUAAAAUGUUGUAAUCAAAUAGCAUUCUUCUUCACUAUCAUGGGAGCCAGUUUCAUUUAUCUCUCCUUAGACUCAAGACAUUUUUCUUUUCCUUGUCUUAUGAACAAUAGAAUUAUGAACUAAGCUAUGCACUGGGGAGAUUUAUUCUUAUGAUUUCAAAUCUGUUUCUCACCAUAUAUUUUAUUUAUGUGUGAUGUGGGGUGUGUGUGUGUGUGUGUGUGUGAAAGAGGGAGAUCAGCUUAUCCUGAAGACUUCAUCAUCAAAUAAAUAUUCAGCUCCUACUUUAAGUACUUAGCAAUGAAACCACGAAUGCAGCAAAUACAUACAAAUUGUAUACAUUGUGUAGUUUUCUGUCUGGAAAUUACACAAAAUAGAGUAGGUCAGAAUUAAUACUUUAGUGCCUUCAUAAUAUUUUACGUCCCUCUAAGUUCAUGCAAGACAUUGUUAUUCAAUUGGGAAGUCUUUGUAGAACCUGUUUAUUAUCUCAAGGCUGUGCUUCUGAAAGCUGCCUCCAAACUACAGGAGUUGGCAUUGCAUAUACAGCUUCCAUUCUAUUCUUGCACUGUACCUAAUUAUGCUGUGUGUUCUCCAGCUCCCUCUGUGUGUUGCAUGAAUCAAUGAUAGUGAUGCAUAGGAGAUCAUUUACUCUCUGGGACAGUUCACUUUAUGUCUCAGUGGUCUUUCUUUCUGAUGACUAUGCUUAUGACUACAGUUGUUUUCUUUGAAAUCAAGAAACUGAAAAUAUUCUAAAAAUGAAAGUUUUAACCUGUCCGAUUUCCCCAAGUAUUAAAGCUAAAGACAAGUAUAAUGUAUGGGAAAGUUUAAGACAGUAAGAAGCAAGAAACAAGGACCACUUGCUACUCUAUCUUAGAUGAAAUAUUUAUUCAUUUAUUAUCCACAUAGAGUCAGCACUAUUUGUCACAUACCCUUCAAAGGCUGUAGCUUACUUAUAUGACAAGUUAUAGUAACUUCUUUUCAAGUUAGGAUGUAUUAAAAAUAAGAACUAUGACAGUAAUCCUAAGCCUUGGUCAUUUUGGGAGAGAGUGCUUAUUUGUUUUACACUAUUGUAGAGCCAGUAAAUUAAAUCAAACAGCUCAUUUAUUUUCAUUAUACUCUCAGGCAUGUUUUCUAGAAAUUACCCAAGAGGAUAGUCUGAUUUUACAGAAUCUUCUCUUCUUCACCCUGUCUCUCAGUUCUCCCAUAUGUACUUGUUUCUCUUCUUUUGACCUAAUCUUGAUAAAAUUUUGGAAAUACCAAGUCCUCUCCAUUUACUCCUCUUCUUAAAAUUUAUUUAUUUAUUUAUUUAUUUAUUUAUCCUCCAACUUCUAAAGCAUCUAUCAUGUUUAUUCUUUGAGUUAACAUAUCUUCUGAGCAAGUUAGAUGUAC